AUUUCUCCGUGCAAUUAAAAGCAGUUUACGAGAACUGAGAUGGCUCUUUAAGAACUGCAGGAGCUUCAAAGCUCACCUUGAUGAUUUCGUGCUUUGCGUUUUUACAAUCUUAAAUUAGAGCAUGAGCUGAUUUAGCAAUUUAGAUUUAGCAGAGGUUUCAGCGCAGCUUUUUGGACGUUAUUAUACGAGCAACGUAAUGGCGUGUGUCUUCUGGAAAAAAGGGUUGUUAGUUGAGGAAGUUAGUGGAAGGAAGAUAAAGAAAUGAGGGACUAUAAUUUCGACAUAUGAAAAAGUGAUUGUCAGUGUCUAGCUGAAUCUGUGGUGGCUGCUAGCAAGUCACUUCAGUUGCUUCAACACAUUUAGGGAGGUAAAGGUGAUGGAGAACGUUUGCACUCAUCUCACUCGACUGCAACAUGACUUCUUUGCCCCGGGCAGACUCUCCAGUUAGGCAUGAGAAGGGAUGCGUUGAAGAGAUUUUGCCUUUUGGUUCGCGUUCAACGGACCUCAUCGGAAAACUUCGGAGAAAUUUGGAAGAUGGCAUCUGUUAAUGUCACAAAUAUUCAUCUCUGUUUUUCAAUAACCAUUAUCUUUACAUGUCUAUUUCAUAAAAACUGGAAGGAAAACGCCAAUAAAAGGAGCUUAGGUAUAUGUAGAGAUGAACAAGCUCCGGAAAUUGUUCAGAGCAGGGGUUAUUGUAGCUCGCAUGAAGCUGUCAUAUCACCAGCAGUGACGAGGACAACCAAGAAACCUUCAGUUCGGAAUUCAAUCUAGGGCAAUGUGAUAGAAUUGUAGUCUUCCUUGGAAUUUCUGAGAUUCCAGAGUUCUUGAGGUUGGAACCUGGCCUUUAUUUCAGCUUAUGCUACGGUUGAAGAAAGUCAUUAUCAUAUCUGGUUAUGCAUUUAUAUGCUCCUCCACUGUUAGCAAUUGGCAGUGCACAACGAAGCUCUCAGUCUUUGAUUUGCUGCGAUUGUCAGCUUUGCAAAAUGAUACCGUAUCGUCUGAGGAUGCCAUGGAGGAACUAUCACCAUCUGCAAAGGUUUUUUUUGUUAUCUUGGGUGGAAAAUUUUCUCAAUGGAGGGAUCUCGAGAAGACUCAGCGCAUAUGAAGCUAAGUUUGAGCAUAAGCAAUCAAAUAUUGCAGUUGAACGACUCAGAGCUCUGGAAGAAUAUUUUCGAUGAGAUUGAAGAUGAAUCAGGUAAAGAUCGGGAUGUAGAAAUUGAUGCAAGCUCCUCCAUGGCUGUUUUCGACGAGCGAUUCGGAUUAGGACGAAACCGUUGCCUAAAAUCCAGGAAACCUAGAAGCGGCAUCAAUACUAUCAGGGACCUAAAAUUGGCAAGAAUUGGAUUGAGAAUCGCAACAGAUUGCAGUCAUGGUUUGGGAUGUGACAAAAUUUUAUCCACAUACUUGGGAGAGAACGUGAAGGGAAUGGAGCGUGUAAUGCCCCAUCCGAUUGAGUUUCCAUUUUUCCGAGUACGUGAUGUGAAACCACAUGUUCAGCUGGUAGUCACUUUCUGAGCAAUUCGGAGAAAUCCGACAAUGGUGACCACGGCAAACACAAGUAUUUUCUCGUUUUACGUGUUGUAUUUCAUACUUUCUAUUUGCUAAUACCUGACCUCCUGCCAUUUAAACCAUUUUUUAGUUGUGCUCAAGAAGACUGAUGCUAGUAGAGGAUAUUUCGGGCUUUGAGUUUAUUGAUAAGAACAAGUUUAUGUAAAAUUAAACUUUGCAAUACCUAGAAUGGUCCCUACUCA